rnacentral:rRNA from 1 species
UACGUAGGGUGCAAGCGUUAAUCGGAAUUACUGGGCGUAAGGCGUGCGCAGGCGGUUGUGUAAGUUUGUCGUGAAAUCCCCGGGCUCAACCUGGGAACUGCGUUUGAAACUACAAGGCUAGAGUAUAGGAGAGGGGGGUAGAAUUCCACGUGUAGCAGUGAAAUGCGUAGAGAUGUGGAGGAAUACCAAUGGCGAAGGCAGCCCCCUGGCCUAAUACUGACGCUCAUGCACGAAAGCGUGGGGAGCAAACAGG